rnacentral:rRNA from 1 species
GAUGAACGCUGGCGGCGUGCCUAAUACAUGCAAGUCGAGCGAAAAGAUGCGGAGUUUGUUGCUUUGACGUUAGCGGAGGACGGGAGAGUAACACGUGGAUAAUCUACCUAUAUGACUGGGAUAACUUCGGGAAAGCGGAGAUAAUACCGGAUAAUAUAUUGCACCGCAUUGUUGAAUAGUGAAAGUCGGUUUUGCUGUAUGUAAUCGAUGGAUCCGCGCCGGAUUAGCUAGUUGGUACGGUAACGGCUUAUCACGGGAACGAGGCGUAGGCGACGGGAGAGGGGGGUCGCCCGCACGGGAACUGGGACACGGUCCAGGCUCCUACGGUAGGCAGCAGAAGGGAACGUUACGCAGUAGGCGGAAGCCUUACGGAGCAACGCGGCGUGAGUGAUGGAGGUCUUCGGUGCGUAAAGCUGUGUUAUUAGGGGAGAACAAAUGUGGAAUUAACUGUGCACUUCGUGACGGUACCUAGUCAGAAAGCCACGGCUAACUACGUG